AGUGGAAUUGCUGGAUCAUACAGCAACUCUAUAUUUAACUUUUUGAGCAACUUACAAACUGUUUUCAAGAGUGGCUGCACCGUUUUACAUUCCAUCAGCAAU
rnacentral:pre_miRNA from 1 species